GAUGAACGCUAGCGGCAGGCCUAACACAUGCAAGUCGAGGGAUAAGCCCUCGGGCUGGAACCGGCGCCGGGGGGCGUACCGCGUAUACAAACUGCCUUACACAUAGGGAUAGCUCGGGGUAACUUGGAUUAAUACCGACUGGUAUAUAAUAGUGGCUUCAUCUUUAUAGUAAGGCUUUGGUGGUGAAAGAUGAGUAUGCUUUCGAUUAGCUUGUUGGAGAGGUAACGGCGCUCCAGGGCGACGAUAGAUAGGGGUUGUGAGGGGGAUGUCCCCCACACUGGUACCGGGCUACGUACCAGACUCCUACGGGAGGCAGUAGUAAGGAAUACUGGAGUGUGGUCGGUUGACUGAUCCAGCCAUGCCUCGUGCAGGACCACGGUCCUAUGGAUUGUAAACUGCUUUUGUAAGGGAAGAAUAAGGUGUACGUGUACUUUGAUGACGGUACCUUAUGAAUAAGCACCGGCUAACUCCGUG
rnacentral:rRNA from 1 species